rnacentral:rRNA from 1 species
UACGGAGGGUGCAAGCGUUGUUCGGAAUUAUUGGGCGUAAAGGGCGUGUAGGUGGCAGCCCAAGUCUGGUGUGAAAGCCCACGGCUCAACCGUGGAACUGCAUUGGAAACUGGGCAGCUCGAGUGUUGGAGGGGGUCGCGGAAUUCCCGGUGUAGAGGUGAAAUUCGUAGAUAUCGGGAGGAACACCAGUGGCGAAGGCGGCGACCUGGCCAAUCACUGACACUGAGACGCGAAAGCGUGGGGAGCAAACAGG